UAUACAUCUAACAGUGUUUUUCCUGCGCUCCUGUCUACCCUUUGGAUUAUUGAAAUUAAAAGAAGAGUAUUAUGCAUUCCGUGUUUCCUCAUUCCUCAUUACACAUAGUGUGACAGAAUCUCCGACCUAAACAGUUACCUCCGUUUGUUUACCCUGUUUUGUGUCUGUUGUGUGUUUUAUGGAUCCCCUCCUUCGCCCCAAAUUCCUCCUCCUGCUGGAGCAGGGAGGCCAAUUUCUCGAGGACCAUACCAGACAGUUCCUGUUAGCUCACAUCACCAGUUACCCGGACGACGCCCUCUGCACUUUCUAUGAUGCAAGCCUGAAUGCCGAGUGCAGAGCGCUGUCGUCCGAAGAUAGUCCUCGGGAGGAAUUCGCGCCUUCGUGGAGUGGACUCUGGUGAGAAAUGGUUCGCCACUUACUAUCUGCCCUGAGAUCUCGCCAGAUCCACUCCGCACCCAGAGCCCAGUCCACCAUCUCCCCGAUGUGCGGAGCACAUGCCCGAGCCCGCCGCUGACGGAGAGCCAGAGCCCGCCAUGACCGACGAGCCAUCGCCGCAUAGAGUGACAGUGCUGAGGAUCGCCGCAGAGCCAGUGCUGCUGAAGAAGUCAGUCAAGGUAUGUGAGCCGGCAACAGUACCUGCGAUGAGGGAGAGUGCCUCAGACAACUGAGGGUGAACUGACUAUGGUGUGGCAAAAGGGCCAAAAUGAGGAGGAGGAUCUCAUUGACUGGGAAUCUGAUCUGGAGAUCAAACUGCCCCCUCUCCAGUUGUCUCGGCUGGUCCUGUAAAGCCCUCCUUCGUCCAUGGUUCCCUCGUCCAGCCCUGAGGGGGGUUCUGAUUCUCCAGUGCCUGCUCCUAGAAUGUACCCGCUCCUCGAAAUAAUGCACACCCUCCCACCCGCUCCUGCCACCUCCACCGCUGUCGUCUGGCAGCCCCUCUGCUCACCCUCAGCCCACCAUCUAUGCAGUGUGAUCAUCGCGGGACUGCCAUCCUCCAGUGUCGCCGUGGUCAGAGUCUCCCUCACCUCCUCCUCCAACUUCCGAGGCCUGGGUCCGUUGAUCCGUCGGCUCCACCAUGGCUCCUGGCUCCCUCAUCUCCAUCGUGGCCCGCCAGUCCACAAGCUCUGCCUGGCUCCCUCGUCCCUCUGGCUCCACCUUGGUCUGGCGUCGACCAUCCUGCGCCUCAAGACUUGGCUUCACCUCAUCCCUCCAUCCCUCUGGCUCCAUCAGGUCUCCUUCAUCCCCUUGGCUCCACCUCUAUUGCUCCGGCUCCACUGGGGCCUCCCAGAUCCACAUCUCCGCGUCGGUUGCUGGCGCCAUUGGCUCCACUUGGCCUGGGUCCUGCUGUGCUCUUUCUGCUCCGGGUCCCUCUUGUCUCUUCCCUGGUUCCUUCCUCCAUCGUCCCCCUGGACCCUGUCUGCCAGUCCCCUCCCGGGUAUCCGUCCUCCUCCAGAAAUUCCUCCUCAGUUCCCACCCUCACCCCCCCUUCUGUUGUACGAGGACGCACCUUCCGGGAGGGGGGGAUAUGUCAGGGUUAUGGACCUGUGUGUUUUGCUCCCUGUGACCCAGUUUCUGUCUCUCGUGGUUUAAUUUGAUUUCAGGUGUGUCUAGUUUCUUCCCCAUGUGUUCCAUGUCCCCGUUAAUUUAGUCAUUCCAUAGACCUGUGUUUCCCCAAUGAUCCUGUG
ensembl:lncRNA